UGAGUACGAGACGCUAAGGCGUCGAAGUAGUGUAUGUCAUACUUCCAAGAAAAGCUUGCACUGUCAUAGAUAAAAAACGCCUGUACCAUAACCGACACAGGUGGGUAGGUAGAGUAUACUAAGGGGCGCGAGAUAACUCUCUCUAAGGAACUCGGCAAAAUAACUCCGUAACUUCGGGAGAAGGAGUGCCUUAUUCGUAAGGUUGCAAUAACAAGAUCCAAGCAACUGUUUAUCAAAAACACAGGUCUCCGCUAAGUCGUAAGACGAUGUAUGGGGGCUGACGCCUGCCCAGUGCCAGAAGGUUAAAGAAGUUGGUUAGCAAUUGCGAAGCUGAUAACUGAAGCCCUGGUGAACGGCGGCCGUAACGAUAACGGUCCUAAGGUAGCGAAAUUCCUUGUCGGGUAAGUUCCGACCCGCACGAAAGGCGUAAUGAUUUGGAUACUGUCUCGGAGAGGGGCUCGGUGAAAUAGACUUGUCUGUGAAGAUGCGGACUACCUGCACCAGGACAGAAAGACCCUAUGAAGCUUUACUGUAACUUGAAAUUGAAAUUGGACUUUAUUCGCGCAGUAUAGGUGGGAGGCGUUGAUUAUAAUCUUGUGGGAUUAUUGGAGCCAUCAGUGAGAUACCACUCUUGUAAUGUUAGAUUUCUAACUUUGAAUCAUUAUCUGGUCAAAGAACAGUUUCAGGCGGGCAGUUUGACUGGGGCGGUCGCCUCCUAAACGGUAACGGAGGCGUACAAAGGUUUCCUCUGAACGGUUAGAAAUCGUAUCUAGAGUGUAAAGGCAUAAGGAAGCUUGACUGUGAGACCUACAAGUCGAGCAGGGACGAAAGUCGGUCUUAGUGAUCUGACGGUACUGAGUGGAAAGGCCGUCACUCAACGGAUAAAAGUUACUCUAAGGAUAACAGGCUGAUCUCCCCCAAGAGUUCACAUCGACGGGGAGGUUUGGCACCUCGAUGUCGGCUCAUCGCAUCCUGGGGCGGUAGUACGUCCCAAGGGUUGGGCUAUUCGCCCAUGGAAGCGGUACGCGAGCUGGGUUCAGAACGUCGUGAGACAGUUCGGUCCAUAUCCGGUGUAGGCGUUAGAAUAUUGAGAGGAGCCUUCUUUAGUACGAGAGGACCGAGAAGGACAUACCUCUGGUGUACCAGUUAUCGUGCCAACGGUAAACGCUGGGUAGCUAUGUAUGGAGUGGAUAACCGCUGAAAGCAUCUAAGUGGGAAGCCCACCUCAAGAUAAGUAUUCUC
rnacentral:rRNA from 1 species